rnacentral:rRNA from 1 species
AGUGAACGCUGGCGGUAGGCCUAACACAUGCAAGUCGAACGGCAGCACAGUAAGAGCUUGCUCUUACGGGUGGCGAGUGGCGGACGGGUGAGGAAUACAUCGGAAUCUACUUUUUCGUGGGGGGUAACGUAGGGAAACUUACGCUAAUACCGCAUACGACCUACGGGUGAAAGCAGGGGAUCUUCGGACCUUGCGCGAUUGAAUGAGCCGAUGUCGGAUUAGCUAGUUGGCGGGGGAAAGGCCCACCAAGGCGACGAUCCGUAGCUGGUCUGAGAGGAUGAUCAGCCACACUGGAACUGAGACACGGUCCAGACUCCUACGGGAGGCAGCAGUGGGGAAUAUUGGACAAUGGGCGCAAGCCUGAUCCAGCCAUACCGCGUGGGUGAAGAAGGCCUUCGGGUUGUAAAGCCCUUUUGUUGGGAAAGAAAAGCAGCAGGUUAAUACCCCGCUGUUCUGACGGUACCCAAAGAAUAAGCACCGGCUAACUUCGUG